UGCAGUUCUGCACUACAGACUGUUACUGCAAAGAAGGACCUACAGCUACAUAUGUCACCCUAGGUGAUAAUUCAAGCUUGCUUAGCUUUCCUAUAGGAGACAUCACCAUCAGUAUCACUUCAUUAAUAUUGUGUGAAAUUGGACCUUAUUUCUGCGGGCAUUAACAUCUGAUUGUAGCUGCCAAGAGUGAUGUGACUGGUUGUGUACAGCAUUACAGAUCUUUCAGUGUCAUGGAAUGUAUACCAAGACCUACAUGGCAACAUUCAGCAUAUGUCAUUCAAGAUCCUGGAUUUGGGCUACUUAAGACUACCAUUUGCUACUACUAUCUAACUACAGAUUUGCAGAAGCUUACACAGUGCCAGCACACAUUGAAGACAGCUCAAGGUUUGAUCAAACCUUUUAUUAUCUGAAGAAUAUAAACAAAAUGAAGAGACAAGCUACACUGUUUAGUUUUUUCGAUUCAUCCAGAAAGAAAAAAGCAAUACAUUUUCAGGAAUUGGACUUAUGUGUUAAUGACAUUAAUAAUAAUGUUGUAGCUAACACUGAGAAGGAUGCUGUACUUAAUGAAAAUACUAUAUAUGAUAUUGACCACAAAUUUGCAAUUGACACACUGGAUGAUAUGCAUGAUAUUGACAGUGUUGUUGUGAAUGAUGAUGAUACAGUUUCAGAUGUGUUAACAGUUGAAGAGGCAUGUACAAGCACUAUAUCCUGUUGGUCCAAAAAACAAAUAGAAUAUUUUAGU